rnacentral:sRNA from 1 species
GCUCUCUCUUUCACACUUAUCAUCAAACAGACUCUCUAACCUCUCGGAUCUCUCUGCACUCUCUCAUCUCCUCCUUUGGUAUGUCAACAGCCUCGGACUCAACACUCUCUCUAAUCCCUCGAAUCAUCUUUGCACUCUCUACUCUACUUCUCCUCCUUGUCUUCGUCAACCAUCUUCCUCCCUCUCAUAUACUUCCUCUUCCUCUUCACUUUCACGCAACAGCGCCGCCGUCCACCGGUCACCAACCCCCAAAUUAAACUUCUAGAAUCAUUUUUCCGUCCUCUUUCCAACCCCCAAAUUAGUUUCUACAAAUUCGUAACCAAAUUUCCUCAAUUUCAGAUCUAAGAAACGGUGACCAGUGCUUUUCCGGCCAAUUUCUGGCCAAGCCUGUCGGAAUUGGACCUCGACCCAAGAGAUCAGUGAACAACUUCUGGGUGUCCACAGAGUGCAAGCAAGGUGAACUUCGACGGUUGGUUAUGGCAGUUUUUUUGGUGCGUACCGUUUCGUUCCUGUCAUAUGGAGAACAUGAAGUAUAUGGAAGAGUGGCUCUCUUCUCUGAGGAGCAGCUGACACCGGUUGAAAUGGUUACUGGCCUAGUUUGAUGUAAUUACUUACUAGUAGUAUGGGACUGGCUAAUAUAACUUUGAGUAGCAGAGAUGGGAGUAUUAUAGAGGAUUCUAGUGCCACUAUUGCUGGAAGGUGGUUUGUGUUCCUAUUGCCUUUGCCUUAGGAUUGACUUGGAAGGAGGCUGUUGCUACUGUCUUACUCGCAAUUCAAAAUUAUGGUUAAUUGUGUGGAGUAUCUGGGGAAUGGGGCUUGACAAUAGAUGCCAAAUGGUAUCAGAUUGCUCUACUCUCUCAGUGCCUGGGUAUUAUAUAAAGCUUUGCGCUUUCAGAUUAAGGGUCUGACACUGGCACUCAAGCAGCAUUUUGGAAAGAAAAUUUUGGAACUAGAAGAUGAGAAAAGAACUGUGCAGGUUCACUUAAAACCUUAAUAUUUGAUGUUCUUAUGCUUGAGAGAACCGAUAUUCACUUAAAACCUUUAUAAUUUUAGUUUUAUUUUAGUUGGGGAUAGAACAUGUAAAAUUAUAGUUGUUUUUACUUAUAAUGGUUGUGAAUAUCCUUGUAAAUUGUAAUAUUAUAGAUGCUUGUGGUUGUGGGCUGUUUUAAUUUUAUGAAAAAAUAAUUUUUUGUUUAGCCUCAAUCUCA